rnacentral:rRNA from 1 species
AGAUACCCUGGUAGUCCACGCCCUAAACGAUGUCAACUAGGUGUUGGGUGGGUAAAACCAUUUAGUACCGUAGCUAACGCGUGAAGUUGACCGCCUGGGGAGUACGGCCGCAAGGUUAAAACUCAAAGGAAUUGACGGGGACCCGCACAAGCGGUGGAUGAUGUGGAUUAAUUCGAUGCAACGCGAAAAACCUUACCUACCCUUGACAUGUCCAGAAGCCCGAAGAGAUUUGGGUGUGCCCGAAAGGGAGCUGGAACACAGGUGCUGCAUGGCUGUCGUCAGCUCGUGUCGUGAGAUGUUGGGUUAAGUCCCGCAACGAGCGCAACCCUUGUCGUUAAUUGCCAUCAUUUAGUUGGGCACUUUAACGAGACUGCCGGUGACAAACCGGAGGAAGGUGGGGAUGACGUCAAGUCCUCAUGGCCCUUAUGGGUAGGGCUUCACACGUCAUACAAUGGUCGGUACAGAGGGUUGCCAAGCCGCGAGGUGGAGCCAAUCCCAGAAAGCCGAUCGUAGUCCGGAUUGCAGGCUGCAACUCGCCUGCAUGAAGUCGGAAUCGCUAGUAAUCGCGGAUCAGCAUGUCGCGGUGAAUACGUUCCCGGGUCUUGUACACACCGCCCGUCACACCAUGGGAGCGGGUUCCGCCAGAAGUAGGUAGCCUAACCGCAAGGGGGGCGCUUACCACGGCGGGGUUCGUGACUGGGGUGAAGUCGUAACAAGGUAGCCGUAGGGGAACCUGCGGCUGG